rnacentral:rRNA from 1 species
CCUACGGGAGGCAGCAGUAGGGAAUUUUCGUCAAUGGGCGCAAGCCUGAACGAGCAAUGCCGCGUGAACGAGGAAGGUCUUCGGAUUGUAAAGUUCUUUUGUAGGGGAAAAAGAGCGGAGAGAGGAAAUAGUCACCGGCUGAUAUUACCCUUCGAGGAAGCCCCGGCUAACAACGUGCCAGCAGCCGCGGUAAUACGGUGGGUGCGAGCGUUGUCCGGAAUGGCUGGGCGUAAAGGGUGUGUAGGCGGCCUGGUAAGGCCGGUGUGAAAUGGUCGGGCUUAAACCGGGAAGGGCACUUGAAACUGGCGGGCUAGAGUGCGGGAGAGGGCGGUGGAAUGCCAGGUGUAGCGGUGAAAUGCGUAGAUAUAUGGAAGAACACCAGUGGCGAAGGCGGCCUCCUGGGCUGUAACUGACGCUGAGGCACGAAAGCGUGGGGAGCAAAUAGGAUUAGAUACCCUGGUAGUC